rnacentral:lncRNA from 1 species
AAAUAAGCUGUUCCGCUGAAGUACGAGCAGAGGCUACCGGUAUUGAGUUUUGCAAAAUGGUCUUUCACUAUCGUGCUCUAAAUUCAGAAGAAAAAAAAACAGUUGGUAUUUGAAAAACAAAUAAUAAAAUCAUUAUUUAGCAUUUUUGUUACGUUCUGUUAGAGGGCCAAAUACCAUUCUGGAGAAUACGGAGAAUACGAGUAAUUAGGACGCGCACAUGUGAGAACAUUCGCAUAAGUAAUUCUAAUGUCUUGCCAUUUGUCACGGGCAGUACAGUAAGAAGAAAAAAAAAAGAAGCUUUAUAUUGCGACAAUUCUUUACUCAUUAUCUGCGAAUACAGCAGGCAGUAACCAAUUUAGACGCGGGUGACUACGAUGCAAGAGGUACUACGCAGUACGUACGUGACUUGAUUUACAUGCUCACGACUCAUAUAAAUCUCGAAGCUGCAAAUUGGGUUCGCUAACACGUGAAAUGUGCAUACGAUCAUGUUAAAUAUGCAAGGCUGUGAAAAAAGGCCCUAAUGACAUCAGGCCGGCUGCCCAAAUUUGGUACCAAUCCAGGCACCCUCUUCGUAAUUGAUAGCGCCACGUAAAUGGCAUAAGUCCUUUUACUCACGAUGCUCGUGUAGAAAGUGCAAACAAAUCCUAGAGACAGAACCGAUGUCCAGGUGGAAAUGCCGGUCACUGCGCAGUAUAGCAGACAGGUAGCCAUAGUAAGUCGUGAGUUGUCAGCGGUGGUCGUUAGCUAGCUCCUGGUUGUAUUAAUUAAAAAAGCACAUAAAAGGAGCAUGAUCUGCGUACCGUACUUGUCUGAAACAUUUAAAGUACCACAGAAGCACGUAUUAUCAAUGCUAACGAACGUCCAUUCCGCAUCCCCCUUAGACACUGGCUACAGCCAUGCAGUAUGGUUCUCCUUUGUAUGUUGACGCGGCGAAUCCAUUCAAGUACCUACUUUGCCGGAGUGGACAGGCAUACCAGCAUAUAUGUGAACUCCGCGACAUCUGUAACAACGAUGUGCUAUAGAACCACUACGCGCAACGGCACUGGUCAGCUGCAAGUGGUGGAAGAUGGGCAUGUAGAAGUAGGCCGUGGCGGGAAUGACGAAGCAGUAGGAGACGCAGAUGACGAUGUACUGGGUGCCCGCCAGGUACAUCUCGGAGGCCGUGCCGAGCAGCGUGAUGGCCGACAUGAAGCUGGCCAGGAUGGAGAGCGCCACGGGAAACGCGGUCAGCUGGCGGCCGCCCAUCAGGAACUCGUCGGUGGACACCUUCUUGGUGCCGAAGAACGCGUAGUAGACGCCGAUGGCCGUCGACACCGCGAGCAUGCCGCAGAACACCAGGUAGUCCCAGAUCGUGAAUCGGCUUACCAGCGAUGACGUCAUCCCGAGGCUGCAGCGUGUUGCGUGAGGCAGGAAGUUCAGUCGACCGCCCGAUGGCAUUCAAUUUAGCGCAUGCAAAUCUAGGGUAUGGACGCAGAAGAUUGAUAGGAAGGUAAAAAAAUCUCUGACAGAAACUGUUAUUAGAAAUGAAAUAGCAUUUUCGCGAAUAACACACACGAAAGACAUUCGUUUCAAAUAGUAAAGACACCAGUCGAGCAGUGCCUAUGGGAUUGUUCCUCCUUCCGACACGUGUACCCGUUGUGCUCAGUGACUGCGAUUCAGGUGAUGACUCAAGCUUCUAGUGGAAUAUGAAGUGGCAGAGUCGAGACUAGAGAUGUGACAGUGUACUUAACUAAUACCGUCUGCUACACUACAAGUACUUCAAGGGACUGGACGGACUUCAGCAUCUCUACGCAUAAACGUAGAGGGAAUGUGUGUAAGGGCGAUACGGCAAUAAAAACCUUCUUUACAUUA